GCUCAGAAACUUAAAGGAAGUUGACGGGGCCCGCACAAGCGGUGGAGCAUGUGGUUUAAUUCGAUGCAACGCGAAGAACCUUACCUGGUCUUGACAUCCCGGAGACCCUUAGGAAACUAGGGGGUGCUUCCAUCUGGAAGAAUCUGGAGACAGGUGCUGCAUGGCUGUCGUCAGCUCGUGUCGUGAGAUGUUGGGUUAAGUCCCGCAACGAGCGCAACCCUUGCCUUUAGUUGCCAGCAGUUCGGCUGGGCACUCUAAAGGGACUGCCGGUGUUAAACCGGAGGAAGGUGGGGAUGACGUCAAGUCCUCAUGGCCUUUAUGACCAGGGCUACACACGUACUACAAUGGCCGAUACAAAGGGCAGCGACACUGCGAGGUGAAGCCAAUCCCGUAAAAUCGGUCUCAGUCCGGAUUGGAGUCUGCAACUCGACUCCAUGAAGUUGGAAUCGCUAGUAAUCGUGGAUCAGCAUGCCACGGUGAAUACAUUCCCGGGCCUU
rnacentral:rRNA from 1 species